rnacentral:rRNA from 1 species
GACGAACGCUGGCGGCGUGCUUAACACAUGCAAGUCGAACGGAAAGACCCUGCUUUUGUGGGGUGCUCGAGUGGCGAACGGGUGAGUAACACGUGAGUAACCUGCCCUUGACUUUGGGAUAACUUCAGGAAACUGGGGCUAAUACCGGAUAGGAGCUCCUGCUGCAUGGUGGGGGUUGGAAAGUUUCGGCGGUUGGGGAUGGACUCGCGGCUUAUCAGCUUGUUGGUGGGGUAGUGGCUUACCAAGGCUUUGACGGGUAGCCGGCCUGAGAGGGUGACCGGCCACAUUGGGACUGAGAUACGGCCCAGACUCCUACGGGAGGCAGCAGUGGGGAAUAUUACACAAUGGGCGGAAGGCUGAUGCAGCAACGCCGCGUGCGGGAUGACGGCCUUCGGGUUGUAAACCGCUUUCGCCUGUGACGAAGCGUGAGUGACGGUAAUGGGUAAAGAAGCACCGGCUAACUACGUG